rnacentral:rRNA from 1 species
GCUGGAAUUGCUGUAAUGGCAGGUCAGCAUACUGCCGUGAAUACGUUCCCGGGCCUUGUACACACCGCCCGUCACACCAUGAGAGUUGGAAAUACCCGAAGCCUGUGAGCUAACAGUAAUGAGGCAGCAGUCGAAGGUAGAGCCAAUGAUUGGGGUGAAGUCGUAACAAGGUAGC